AGUUUUAGAACUUCCGGUGCAUAUUACUCUUUCCUGGAUCUAAAAACUCCCUAGUCCACCCAUUUGCCUACACACGUCCACACAUUUCACCUCGUCCCCAACCUCCUCCGGCGUCGUCAGAUCCGCCGGCGGGAGCCCCCUGCUACAGCGCCCCGACCCGGCUGCCCCUCCUCCUCGAAUCCUCCCCGCCGGGCCGCCCCUCCUCGACUCCUCCCCGCCCGGGCCGACCUCCAGUGCCGUGCAGCAGGACGCGCCCGGCAGCAGGACUCGACCGGCCGCCCGCCUGCCCGGCCCUCUCUUCCCUCCGCCCGGCAGCAGGAGGCACCCUCACGGCCGGCCCUCCCUUCUAUUUGCUGGUUACAACACUUCUGAAGUUAUUUCACUUGUUUACCAGAAAGAAAACAGAGUUAAACUGCUGAUUGUCAAGGUAAUGAACAGUACUGUAUGCUUGAUGCCGUUUAAUAUUUGACCGAUUUCAUUAUUUUGCUGUUGCUUUUAGCUCUUUCUUUCUUUUACAUAUGCAGUCGCACAGUGAUAAGAUGGUCCGUCUUGUCAUAGCUGGUGAUGGUUUUACACCAUACUAGUUGAAUGCUGCUCCAUAUACUUGCUGACCUGUUUUUGUAGCUCUAUUAAACCUUCCACCUGGUAUUCUCUUGAAACCAGAGUAUAUAUUCCUUAGCCUUGUUAUCCCUGGUCCUGAACAUCUUGGUAAAAUUUGAGUGUCCUAAUGCAACCUUUAGCUGAUGAACUGAUGCAAUUGUGGGCGGGGGCUGAAACAUGGGAUGCUUAUCACAAGGUAAACUUCCCAAUGAAAGCGGCAUUUCUAUGGUCAGUCCACGACUUUCCUGCCUUUGGUAUGUUUGCUGGGUGGAGCACCCAUGGCAAGCUAGCAUGCCCUGAAUGCAUGAGUGAUUCCAAAGCAUUUACUCUUCAAUACGGGUGGAUUGUCAUAAGCUAGCAUGCCUUUGGCAUCUACUCUUCAAUACGUCCGACUGACAGGCAAAAGCGAAUUUCCCUAUCAAGCUAUCCCUGUCGUCUUUCCCUGAAGGGUGACCGACAGGAAAUACUUUCCCUGUCGGGUUCCCCCCUUUUCCUGUCUGUUUUCAGCCCACAGAAAUAUUUCAGAUUCUGGUAGUGAUCAUCUUGGAAAUAAAAAUGUUUUACCUUGUCAUAGUUGCAUACCUUAGUUGGCACUGUUUUGCCUCUUGAAAUUAUACUAGCUGAACUAAAAGGAACAUUCAUAGAAAGAAAUGCUUGUGCACGGACAAAUGACUUAGCACACACUCUUGUGGUCCUCACAUACCAUAUGCACUCUUCAACUUCAGCCACUAUGAGGUUCAACGCCUCGCUUGUGUCCACCGUCCUUUCUGCAGUGUGUUCCUCUCUACCUCUUCAAGAUAUUGUUUUCAUAUGCCUGGUCUUUCUCUUUAGUUCUGAUGACUUUUGUUUAGAAUAGUUUGCAAACCCUAACAUAAACCUUUAGUCCCAAAUUAAUAUAUGAAGGAAAAAAAUAUAGUAUGGAUAGUCCCGAAGAAUAAGUUAUAUGUUUCCACACAGCAUGUUAACAAAACGGAAAUGACAAAUCCUGAACGUUCAGGAUUUUACCAUGGCAAAUCGAACGUUUUCGAUGGCAGUUUUAGUGACGCGAGGAUGGCAAGUUUAGUUGACACCCAAGACAAUUUUCUGGCAAAAAAAUACACUGAGCACGGAGUUGCCAUGCUUGCCAACUAAAAUUGACAUCCUCGUGUCACUAAAAUUGCCAUCGAAAACGUUUGAUUUGCCAUCGUCAAAUCCCAAACGCUCGGGCGUUAUCAGGAUCCUAACAGAACACCCCCUCAUCCCCUCCGCCCUCCCCUUUUCGCUACCACAAUCGACCUUAUUGUUGAAUAAGCUACCUUCCUAUGGCCUUCAGCAAAGGUUUCCGUCCAGUACUAUGAACAGAAUAAUAUUCUCUUGGGGAUGAAGAGUUGUCCCUUUACAAUGGAAAAGCAUGUUACUCCUCCAUCCCUAUUUCCAUGACCACUUGUUUUUCUUGAUUACAUUUAAGCACCGGUUCUGCCAAUAAUAUAUUAAUUAUAUGUCAUAACUGUUAAAACCUGCAUUUUAAUAUGAAUUAUAUUUCCCUUCAUUCGAACUCUAAAAAGGCCAUAUGAUAGCUUUACAAGAAGACACAUAGUUUCACAUCGCAUUAUAAGAAUGCCCUUUAACAUGGGCAUGAAUCUUAUGUUAAAACAAGUUAGAGUCAACCAAAAGAAAAGAAACAAGUUAAAAUAUUCCUUUGCAGUCCAUUUCCUUCAAGAAACAUUUAAAUAUCCUCAAGAAAUGCAGAACCCCAGUAAUGUUUGAUACUCUACAACUUUUUGAAGCAACCUGAACCAAACACUGUUUCAUAGAUUAGUUUUAAUGAAACUAUUUCAUAAUCUAAAACAUGUACAUAACAUGUCUGUUUCCCAUUCCUUGCGAGUAUUAUCACUUCCUAGGCUACAAGAACCAUACUCCAAACCGAAAGAUAUCAACAAAAAAUCACUAUCUUUUCAAAGGAAAAAGGGAACGUCCCCCCCCCCCCCCCCCCCCCAUUUGCACCUUCUUCACAACAACGAUCACAUCUACAAGGGGAAGACACAAAUAAAGAGAACAAACAACUUUGCGGGAAAAGUACAUCACUAAACAAAUUGAAUGUCAUCUUACCACAUCCAUCUUUUAGUGUCAGGUCUAAGUUUGCGAGAGUCAAUCCUGGGCACAACUCCUGUAGUUCCAAACAAACCAAGCAGAAUUAAAAACCAAGAUCCAAAAUUAGAGAUCAACAAGCACAUGUGAGGCUCCGGUUCUUACAUCGAUCUGCUUCUGCAAAUAACACGGCGGCUUUCUUAUGGGCAGUUAAUGUUCAGUCAUGUUCCACCACUCAGUGGCGGAGCUUGAUGAAGCUUGUUCAGUCAUGCCCUUAUUUUGGAUGGGCCCUAGGCUGUCACACUCACCGCCCUUACAGGGUUCUGAAGGGCUGAUGGGUUGAACUUUACCAUCACUAGCACUACCGGUAAGGUGCACAGGUUGGAUCUCAAGUUUUAGUUUUCUCUCUUUUUACUACUCCCUCCGUCCCAUAAUAUAAGAACGUUUUUUACACUAGUGUAGUGUUAAAAACGUUAGUAUAUUUUGGGACAGAGGGAGUAGUUUGGAAACUUUGCCUUCCUAAAUUGCAGGAAAGUCAUCAAUAUAAUGUAUCUACAAGGAAGGUGGUGCCUCCACUCAUCUUGUUGUCUCAUGCUGCUACAAGCUUGCCACCAUAAGACUUGUCAAGGUCCAAUGGGGACGUGCCACUCAAUACUAUGGAUGGGUCCUAGGCCGCCGCACCUUUUGCCAUGGCCCAGCCCAUGACAGGCAGCAGCAAAGGGUGCCUUUCCAGAGCAAGGUGGUUGAGAUGGGUGCCCAUGCGCCCAUCCAUCACUGCCCUCAACAAUCUUCAUCAAGCUUGGGCCGCUGCACCAUUUGCCAUGGUGCAGCCCAUGACAGGCAGCAGCCAUAAAGGACGCCUCUUCAGAAGAGCAACGUGUUUGAGAUGGGUGCCCAUGCGCCCAUCCAUCAGUGCCCUCAACAAUCUUCAUCAAGCUUGGGCCGCCAUGGUGCAGCCCAUGACAGGCAGCAGCCAUAAAGGGCGCCUCUUCAGGCGCCCAUCCAUCAGUGCCCUCAACAAUCUUCAUCAAGCUUGGGCGGCUGCACCAUUUGCCAUGGUGCAGCCCAUGACAGGCAGCAGCCAUAAAGGACGCCUCUUCAGAAGAGCAAGGUGUUUGAGAUGGGUGCCCAUGCGCCCAUCCAUCAGUCCCCUCAACAAUCUUCAUCAAGCUUGGGCGGCUGCACCAUUUGCCAUGGUGCAGCCCAUGACAGGCAGCAGCCAUAAAGGGCGCCUCUUCAGAGCAAGGUGCUUGAGAUGGGCGUCCAUGCGCCCAUCCAUCACCACAACAGCUGCUGAGUACAUCCAUUCCAUCCAUGGUGUUUGCCCAUUCUUGGCAAAGGAAGAAGUGAUGCAACUCCAAUGGAGGUGGAGCAGCCCACAAUGUGCCCAUUGUUGGCAAAAGAAGGAAGAGAUGCAACUCCAAUGGAGGUGGAGGGGCCCACGAUGCUAUAUGUUGUAUAUUUUUUUAUUUUUUAUUUAUUGAUGCCUGGUGGUGAUGUUUGGCCAUUCUUGGCAAAAGAACAAGAGAUGUAAUUAUUUAUACUCCAUUUAGAGGUAUAUAUAGAUGCUGCACGUGAACA